rnacentral:rRNA from 1 species
GACGAACGCUGGCGGCGUGCUUAACACAUGCAAGUCGAGCGGUAAGGCCUCUUCGGGGGUACACGAGCGGCGAACGGGUGAGUAACACGUGAGUAAUCUGCCCUUCACUUCGGGAUAAGCUUCCGAAACGGGGUCUAAUACCGGCUACGACCCUUUCAGGCAUCUGAUGAGUGUGGAAAGUUUUUUCGGUGGGGGAUGUGCUCGCGGCCUAUCAGCUUGUUGGUGGGGUAAUGGCCUACCAAGGCUUCGACGGGUAGCCGGCCUGAGAGGGUGACCGGCCACACUGGGACUGAGACACGGCCCAGACUCCUACGGGAGGCAGCAGUGGGGAAUAUUGGACAAUGGGCGGAAGCCUGAUCCAGCAACGCCGCGUGAGGGAUGACGGCCUUCGGGUUGUAAACCUCUCUCAGUACCGACGAAGCGAGAGUGACGGUAGGUACAGAAGAAGCACCGGCCAACUACGUGCCAGCCGCCGCGGUAA